rnacentral:rRNA from 1 species
AGUUUGAUCCUGGCUCAGGAUGAACGCUGGCGGUCUGCUUAACACAUGCAAGUCGAACGGGCUCUUCGGAGCUAGUGGCGGACGGGUGAGUAACGCGUGAGGAUCUGCCCUUAGGACGGGGACAACAGUUGGAAACGACUGCUAAUACCCGAUGUGCCGAGAGGUGAAACUAUUUGGCCUGAGGAUGAGCUUGCGUCUGAUUAGCUAGUUGGAGUGGUAACGGCACACCAAGGCGACGAUCAGUAGCUGGUCUGAGAGGAUGAUCAGCCACACUGGGACUGAGACACGGCCCAGACUCCUACGGGAGGCAGCAGUGGGGAAUUUUCCGCAAUGGGCGAAAGCCUGACGGAGCAAGACCGCGUGCGGGAGGAAGGUCUAUUGACUGUAAACCGCUUUUGAUAGGGAAGAAGAUCUGACGGUACCUAUCGAAUCAGCAUCGGCUAACUCCGUGCCAGCAGCCGCGGUAAUACGGGGGAUGCAAGCGUUAUCCGGAAUUAUUGGGCGUAAAGCGUCCGUAGGUGGUUUUAUAAGUCUGUUGUCAAAGCGCGAGGCUUAACCUCGUACAGGCAGUGGAAACUAUAAGA